CCUACGGGGGGCAGCAGUGAGGAAUAUUGGUCAAUGGACGAGAGUCUGAACCAGCCAAGUAGCGUGAAGGAUGACUGCCCUAUGGGUUGUAAACUUCUUUUAUAUGGGAAUAAAACGUUCCACGUGUGGGAUUUUGUAUGUACCAUAUGAAUAAGGAUCGGCUAACUCCGUGCCAGCAGCCGCGGUAAUACGGAGGAUCCGAGCGUUAUCCGGAUUUAUUGGGUUUAAAGGGAGCGUAGGUGGAUUGUUAAGUCAGUUGUGAAAGUUUGCGGCUCAACCGUAAAAUUGCAGUUGAAACUGGCAGUCUUGAGUACAGUAGAGGUGGGCGGAAUUCGUGGUGUAGCGGUGAAAUGCUUAGAUAUCACGAAGAACUCCGAUUGCGAAGGCAGUUCACUGGACUGCAACUGGCACUGAGGCUCGAAAGUGUGGGUAUCAAACAGGAUUAGAUACCCUAGUAGUC
rnacentral:rRNA from 1 species